GUGCUCGCUUCAGCAGCACAUAUAUUAAAACUGGAACAAUACAGAGAAGAUUGCACGGCCCCUGUGCAAGGGUGACAGGUAAAUUUGUGAAGCAUUCCAUAUUUUU
ensembl:snRNA U6 U6 spliceosomal RNA